UACGAAGGGGGCUAGCGUUGUUCGGAAUCACUGGGCGUAAAGGGCGCGUAGGCGGCCGAUCAAGUCGGGGGUGAAAGCCUGUGGCUUAACCACAGAAUGGCCUUCGAUACUGUUUGGCUUGAGACCGGAAGAGGUUAGUGGAACUGCGAGUGUAGAGGUGAAAUUCGUAGAUAUUCGCAAGAACACCAGUGGCGAAGGCGGCUAACUGGUCCGGUUCUGACGCUGAGGCGCGAAAGCGUGGGGAGCAAACAGG
rnacentral:rRNA from 1 species